rnacentral:tRNA from 1 species
GGCUUUAUAGUCAAAAUAAUGAUAUUAGACUGCAAUUCUAAAGGAGUAAAAUAAUUACUAAGGCUU